UGUCUCUUUCAGCCAGUGUUUGUUUGUUUAUGAGCAGUGUUUUAGCAACCAUUUUCCUUCCUUUUGUGCGUGGAUCCCGUCGAGUACGACGGAUGCGUAGGGGUGCUAAUUUGUUUGUUUAUGAGCAGUGUUUUAGCAACCAUUUUCCUUCCUUUUGUGCGUGGAUCCCGUCGAGUACGACGGAUGCGUAGGGGUGCUAAUACCUUCCCUUCGCAUAACCGACUCCCGAUCCCAUUCUAUUUGGUCGCGAGACCAUGUCUUUUCCAGGUUUACUCUAAGCGUUUCCUUUCCCUCUUUU
rnacentral:lncRNA from 1 species